CCUACGGGGGGCAGCAGUGGGGAAUAUUGGACAAUGGGGGCAACCCUGAUCCAGCCAUGCCGCGUGUGUGAAGAAGGCCCUCGGGUUGUAAAGCACUUUCAGUGAGGAAGAACGCCUGGUGGUUAAUACCCAUCAGGAAAGACAUCACUCACAGAAGAAGCACCGGCUAACUCCGUGCCAGCAGCCGCGGUAAUACGGAGGGUGCGAGCGUUAAUCGGAAUUACUGGGCGUAAAGCGCGCGUAGGUGGCUUGAUAAGCCGGUUGUGAAAGCCCCGGGCUCAACCUGGGAACGGCAUCCGGAACUGUCAAGCUAGAGUGCAGGAGAGGAAGGUAGAAUUCCCGGUGUAGCGGUGAAAUGCGUAGAGAUCGGGAGGAAUACCAGUGGCGAAGGCGGCCUUCUGGACUGACACUGACACUGAGGUACGAAAGCGUGGGUAGCAAACAGGAUUAGAUACCCCGGUAGUC
rnacentral:rRNA from 1 species